rnacentral:rRNA from 1 species
GCAAACAGGAUUAGAUACCCUGGUAGUNCACGCUGUAAACGAUGUCGACUUGGAGGUUGUGCCCNUGAGGCGUGGCUUCCGGAGCUAACGCGUUAAGUCGACCGCCUGGGGAGUACGGCCGCAAGGUUAAAACUCAAAUGAAUUGACGGGGGCCCGCACAAGCGGUGGAGCAUGUGGUUUAAUUCGAUGCAACGCGAAGAACCUUACCUACUCUUGACAUCCACGGAACUUGCCAGAGAUGGCUUGGUGCCUUCGGGAACCGUGAGACAGGUGCUGCAUGGCUGUCGUCAGCUCGUGUUGUGAAAUGUUGGGUUAAGUCCCGCAACGAGCGCAACCCUUAUCCUUUGUUGCCAGCACUUCGGGUGGGAACUCAAAGGAGACUGCCGGUGAUAAACCGGAGGAAGGUGGGGAUGACGUCAAGUCAUCAUGGCCCUUACGAGUAGGGCUACACACGUGCUACAAUGGCGUAUACAAAGAGAAGCAAACUCGCGAGAGCCAGCGGACCUCAUAAAGUACGUCGUAGUCCGGAUUGGAGUCUGCAACUCGACUCCAUGAAGUCGGAAUCGCUAGUAAUCGUAGAUCAGAAUGCUACGGUGAAUACGUUCCCGGGCCUUGUACACACCGCCCGUCACACCAUGGGAGUGGGUUGCAAAAGAAGUAGGUAGCUUAACCUUCGGGAGGGCGCUUACCACUUUGUGAUUCAUGACUGGGGUG